UCAAGACGGUACCAACAUUUCAAU
rnacentral:sRNA from 1 species